rnacentral:rRNA from 1 species
UACAGGGGGUGCAAACGUUGCUCGGAAUCAUUGGGCGUAAAAGCGCACGUAGGCGGUCUGUUAUGUCGGAUGUGAAAGCCCUCGGCUUAACUGAGGAAGUGCAUCCGAAACUGGCAGGCUAGAGUACCAAAGAGGGUCGCGGAAUUCCCGGUGUAGAGGUGAAAUUCGUAGAUAUCGGGAGGAACACCUGUGGCGAAAGCGGCUCACUGGACCACAACUGACGCUGAGGCGCGAAAAGCUAGGGGAGCAAACAGG